GUAAAUAAGUCCCAACUACAGGA
rnacentral:siRNA from 1 species